GGUUGAGAAAAAUAAGGAGAGAAGAUCUCUUAAGAGAGGACUCCACUAAAAGCCUUGACCACUUACGAGUCUGUAGUGACCAUUCAGGUGGAGCAAACCAGAAGGAUAGCCAACUUAAGAAUUCAUGUGGAGAGAGUCAUCGGAAACAUCAGGAACAAGUUCUCCAUAAUGAGUUCAACCAUUCCAAUUGAUUUCACCAGGGUCGGGGAUUAACAGUUGGCUUUGGUGCUCUUGAAUAAAAUUUAGCUGCCAACUCUGGAAGUAGUGCUUCUUCAAAAAAUUAUAUGGCCUUUGGUAGCUUAUCCUUCAUGAAAGGUUCAUC